ensembl:miRNA sha-mir-130b sha-mir-130b
AUCUAUUUUUUCUUUAGUAUGAUUGGACAUCUUAUUGACUGAGUGGUAUUUGUCUAGUGCCCUUUUUAUGUUGUACUACUAGUGAUCCUGCACAAGAAGCAGUGCAAUGUUAAAAGGGCAUUGGCCAGUGAUACCGGUCACAUUUCUGGG